rnacentral:rRNA from 1 species
UACGUAGGGUGCAAGCGUUAAUCGGAAUUACUGGGCGUAAAGCGUGCGCAGGCGGUUAUGUAAGACAGAUGUGAAAUCCCCGGGCUUAACCUGGGAACUGCAUUUGUGACUGCACGGCUAGAGUGCGGCAGAGGGGGAUGGAAUUCCGCGUGUAGCAGUGAAAUGCGUAGAUAUGCGGAGGAACACCGAUGGCGAAGGCAAUCCCCUGGGCCUGCACUGACGCUCAUGCACGAAAGCGUGGGGAGCAAACAGG